AGAACAGUUAAAUACACAGAGCUAACUUAAUUCUGUUUUACAGUUACAGUAAGUAAUAAAGACACUGAUUCUGGUGUGCCUGGUAUGUGGCCUAUGGGGAUGAUAAGGUCUGGUAUUGGAGAUUGGUACUUGAAAGUCAAUGGUUGAUCAUGAUGACCAUCUUUAAUUUAAUGGGGAAAGAUUAACCAAUCCUUGCAGCUGGACAGGCUAUCACCACAGUUCAAUGAUUUAGUUAAGACAAUGAAAUAGAAGAACUUCAUGCUAACACUUGCAUCAGUGGAAGUACUUCUUAUUGGAUAGAGAACUUUUCA